GUUUAAAGUAAUCAGUAUAUAUUGUUGAUAGGCGACACUAAAGGUAAUCUGUAUUUAAUGUUGUUGAUAGGUGGCGCUGAAGAUAUUCAGUAUUUGUUAUUGAUAGGUGGCGUUAAAAUAAUCUCUGUUUAAGGUGGCAUGCAUGGUAUUGAGAAUAUUCACGGUAUUCGUGGAUGGUGUUCGAUGUGAUGAGAACGUUGUUAAUUGUUAGUAAAUGGCGACGGUACGUUGUUAUCCAUAGAUGGUGUUAGGUCAGUGUUACACCAAAGGAACACAUGAAUGUGCAAAGUUUCAAGCUUGGUUAAACCCGUUCAAAAAGAAGACGAAAGAUUUUCGCCAGCAACAGAAUGAAGCAAUGCGAGCGCUGGAAAAGUUUGUGGUGGUGGGUUUCUUCGUCUAAAGCUCGAAAGGAACUGGAUGUAUCUGUACCAAAAGCUAAAACAUUUAUGGUUGGAACACGGCAACGCAUUGAUUAAUGUUUCACCGUUAUUGUACCAGAUGCCAGCCUAACAACAUUUGAGGCAGCCUCUCAUACUGUCUUCCAAUUGUAUCAUAUGAAUCAAUUUAUAUUUGGGUUUGCAAAUGUGUGAUAACUUAUUUGUUUGGUUAAAGAGACCUGCAUGUGUUUUUGCUUAGAAUUCAGAAAUC